CUUCAUCUCUCUCGAUCUCUCAGAAGAAACAGGGUCGAAGAGAAACUCAUUUCUCUUCUUCUUGUUCUUCUUCUUCUUCGAUGUUCUUCGUUUUUUCUCUUCCCAACUGCUUCUUUUUCACUGUUCUUCGUUUUUUUUUCUUCUCAAAAGCAUGGACUGAGAAAUCGUUCAUAUCAAUUAAGAAGAAAUCUGGAGAAGUAAAUGGAUCAGGAAGGUGUUACUGAGGGUGUGAAUUUGAUUUUGGUUAGGGUUCUUAUUGAUUGAAGAAAGACGAAUCAGUAAGAAAUAAAAUUAGGGUUUCUGGAGUUUGUAUUGAGUUUGUGCAAAAUUGAAGGAGGUAUUGGUGGAUUGAAUAACAGAAGAAGGAGAUGGUGGAGAUGUAUUAACUCGGCUUAUAAAGGCUAGGGUGAAUCAGAGAGAGGAAGUUAGGGUUUGGAAAAUUAUUUAAGAUGAGGUCGAUGGCUAGGGUUUAAAGUGAUGAUGCAGAAGCUCAAUUGAGGCAAAACAAGGAAUCAAGAUCAAGUAAUUCAUUCUAGGAAUUUUAUUUAAGGUUAUUGAGCAAGAUCCCGAUUUUGCAAAAAAGAUAGGACAAAUUGUUCUUCUUGACGGUGCUUUUUUUUUUUGUGAAUGGGAACAUGAAUCCUGCCUCUGAGGCUAAUAUCUUUGGUGAUCCAGAUGCUGUUGAUAUUGUAUUCACGAGUGGAGAUGACGUUGUAGCUAUACACUAAGGGUGUCGUAAGAGUUCAGACAAGAGGUAUAAUGAGGGGUGCCACAGUUUUCUAUAAC